UGGGGAAUAUUGCACAAUGGGCGCAAGCCUGAUGCAGCCAUGCCGCGUGUAUGAAGAAGGCCUUCGGGUUGUAAAGUACUUUCAGCGGGGCGGAAGGGAGUAAAGUUAAUACCUUUGCUCAUUGACGUUACCCGCAGAAGAAGCACCGGCUAACUCCGUGCCAGCAGCCGCGGUAAUACGGAGGGUGCAAGCGUUAAUCGGAAUUACUGGGCGUAAAGCGCACGCAGGCGGUUUGUUAAGUCAGAUGUGAAAUCCCCGGGCUCAACCUGGGAACUGCAUCUGAAACUGGCAAGCUUGAGUCUCGUAGAGGGGGGUAGAAUUCCAGGUGUAGCGGUGAAAUGCGUAGAGCUCUGGAGGAAUACCGGUGGCGAAGGCGGCCCCCUGGACGAAGACUGACGCUCAGGUGCGAAAGCGUGGGGAGCAAACAGG
rnacentral:rRNA from 1 species